UACGUAGGGGGCAAGCGUUGUCCGGAAUCAUUGGGCGUAAAGAGCGCGUAGGCGGCUCGGUAAGUCCGCUGUAAAAGUCCAGGGCUCAACCCUGGAAAGCCGGUGGAAACUGUCGAGCUAGAGUCCGGAAGAGGCGAGUGGAAUUCCUGGUGUAGCGGUGAAAUGCGCAGAUAUCAGGAGGAACACCAAUGGCGAAGGCAGCUCGCUGGGACGGUACUGACGCUGAGACGCGAAAGCGUGGGGAGCAAACAGG
rnacentral:rRNA from 1 species